rnacentral:rRNA from 1 species
UACGUAGGGGGCUAGCGUUGCUCGGAAUGACUGGGCGUAAAGGGCGCGUAGGCGGAGUGCUUUGUCGGGCGUGAAAUUCCAGGGCUCAACCUUGGGGCUGCGUUCGAGACGGGCAUUCUAGAGUGGAGAAGAGGGUCGUGGAAUUCCCAGUGUAGAGGUGAAAUUCGUAGAUAUUGGGAAGAACACCGGUGGCGAAGGCGGCGACCUGGUCUUUUACUGACGCUGAGGCGCGAAAGCGUGGGGAGCAAACAGG